GAUGAACGCUGGCGGCGUGCCUAAUACAUGCAAGUCGAGCGAACGGACGAGAAGCUUGCUUCUCUGAUGUUAGCGGCGGACGGGUGAGUAACACGUGGAUAACCUACCUACAAGACUGGGAUAACUUCGGGAAACCGGAGCUAAUACCGGAUAAUAUUUUGAACCGCAUGGUUCAAAAGUGAAAGACGGUCUUGCUGUCACUUAUAGCUGGAUCCGCGCUGCAUUAGCUAGUUGGUAAGGUAACGGCUUACCAAGGCAACGAUGCAUAGCCGACCUGAGAGGGUGAUCGGCCACACUGGAACUGAGACACGGUCCAGACUCCUACGGGAGGCAGCAGUAGGGAAUCUUCCGCAAUGGGCGAAAGCCUGACGGAGCAACGCCGCGUGAGUGAUGAAGGUCUUCGGAUCGUAAAACUCUGUUAUUAGGGAAGAACAUAUGUGUAAGUAACUGUGCACAUCUUGACGGUACCUAAUCAGAAAGCCACGGCUAACUACGUG
rnacentral:rRNA from 1 species